UGUAAACAUCCUCGACUGGA
rnacentral:ncRNA from 3 species